AGAAAGUUAGUCUAGCCAAGACAGUUGAUUUCGACUCAACAAACCAUAGCCUAUCACUAUGACUUUCUC
rnacentral:tRNA from 1 species